rnacentral:rRNA from 1 species
CUUAAAUUGAAGAGUUUGAUCAUGGCUCAGAUUGAACGCUGGCGGCAGGCCUAACACAUGCAAGUCGAGCGGAAACGACUUAACUGAACCUUCGGGGAACGUUAAGGGCGUCGAGCGGCGGACGGGUGAGUAAUG